CCAGCACCAUUUGUUGAAAAGACUAUACUUUCUCCACUCAGUUACUUUUGUUCCUUUGUCAAAGAUCACUUGACUAACUUUGUGUGGGCCUAUUUUUGGGCUCCGUUCUGUUCCGUUGAUCCUUUUGUCUAUUCUUUCACCAGUAUCACACUGUCUUGAUUAUUAUAGCUUUGUAUUAAGUAUUGAAGUCAUGUAGUAUCAGUCUUCCAGCUUUGUUCUUCUUUAGAAGCUGUUUUUAAUUGAGUUGUUUGUCUUUAUUGUUGAAUUGCAAGAUUUCUUUAUAUAUUCUGGAUACUAGACCCUUAGCCAGAUGUAUGAUAUACAGUUAUUUUCUCUAAUUUUUGUUGUCUUUUCUCUUUCUAGAUGAUGUUCUCUGAAGCACAUAAGUUUUUAAUUUUGAUGAAGUCCAGUGUAUCUGUUUUUUUCUUUGGUUGUUUCUGUUUUUGAUAGGAUAUCAAAACUAAGCCAAGGUCAUAAAUAUUUACUCCUAUGUAACUUCUAAAAAUUCUAUACAUUUAAUGUUCACCAGGAUGAGAAUGGUGAUGUGGCUUUUGUCUCACUAGGAUGAGAAUGGUGCCUUGGUCUCAUGGAAAAGCCUGGGGAAAGGCUGUUGCUGUGAAUGUGGUGGAUUCUCUACUUGUGCCUGUGCAGGACAAGGACAUGGAGCCACUUGGCCAACUAUGAGGCCGGAACACAUGAUGUCAAUGAAGAAGAAGGACAUCUGGGCUCUUUUCAUGGAUCCUUCAAGAGCUGGCAUGUCCAGUCCUGGUGGAGAUUGUACCCAUUAGCAUGAUGCAGAAGUCUCAUGGAGUGUGUUUAGUCUUGACUGCCUUACCUACCACACAGUGUAAGGCUGCAUUGAAGAUUCUGUAUUGUCACAACCACUAUAAUUUUGGGUGUCUCAUUCAACAAAGGUUUGUUAAGCACACAGUAUUUUUUAGGUUCAGUACUAUAUACUGGGGUCACAAAGUCAAACCUCAAAUUGCUUAUGGCCUGCAAGAUAAGACAGGUUAAUUAAUGCUUCUGCUGUUUCCUCUCUGAUCCAUUGUGUACCCUGCUUGUACUUAAUAUCCCUAAAAUACUUUUUCUUUACAUCAUACCCUAAGCUCUGAAACUGAAAGUCUUCUUAUGGCAUUGCAAAUAAAAAUUCUGUAGUUACGUCAACUAAAUGGAGUGCUAGGAAGCUCCAAGCUCUUGUUCCUCCACAGAGACAUUGAAAACAGCCAAAAGCUAGCUAAAGUGAGUUUGUGGGAGUUCUGGAAAACAGUCAAAGGUAACCAAGUGAACAGCCAAUCAAGAAGAAACUACAUUUAAAAUGGUAGAAAAAUUCAUAAAGUUUUUGCUCACCCUUGUCCCUCCACCUUCAUGCACUCUUGUUUGUGGAGGAGUUGGCAGCCAAUUUCCCAGUGCCCUCCCUCAAACUAGAGGGAGCAAAGCAAAUCUUAUUUGCAAUGUUCAAUUUGGGGGCUGCCUGAAGGACUAGUUUCUGUUUUGCCUGAACAGUUUCUAGUUUCCCUGGAGCUCUGCAGGGGAAACUCAGUAGAAAGUGGCAGGAACUGUUCAUGAAAUCUAUAAGGAGACUAAAACUUGCAGACACCUGGGGCAAGACAUUAUGGGUGGAGGGAGACAUACAAUAGAACAUCUAAGGCCCCAGGGAGAAACUGGAAUGAGACUCUGGGAAAUUAAGACAUAUAAAAGCAGGGUGUGUAGAGGGGAAUCAAAAACAGUAUACAGAUCCAGGUGCAUUGCAUGCUAAGAAAAUACCCGAAGACUUUGUUUUCUGCUUUGGCUGAUCCCAAGGCUCAGAACUACUUAGUAAAAGAUUUCACUGGCACAGACCUAGUCUACAAGGACUGGGAGAAGUAGCUGUCUUUUCAACUGCCCAAUUUUCAACAAAAAGAAAGUCACAAAGAGCAGAAUAACCUGACCCAUUCAAAGGAAGAAAAUGAAGUGACAGGAAUCUUUCCUGAAGGAACACGGGGAUCAGACUUAC
rnacentral:lncRNA from 1 species